rnacentral:rRNA from 1 species
UGGGGAAUAUUGCACAAUGGGCGAAAGCCUGAUGCAGCGACGCCGCGUGAGGGAUGACGGCCUUCGGGUUGUAAACCUCUUUCGACAGGGACGAAGCGUAAGUGACGGUACCUGUAGAAGAAGCACCGGCCAACUACGUGCCAGCAGCCGCGGUAAUACGUAGGGUGCGAGCGUUGUCCGGAAUUACUGGGCGUAAAGAGCUUGUAGGCGGUUUGUCGCGUCGUCUGUGAAAACUCACAGCUCAACUGUGAGCUUGCAGGCGAUACGGGCAGACUUGAGUACUGCAGGGGAGACUGGAAUUCCUGGUGUAGCGGUGAAAUGCGCAGAUAUCAGGAGGAACACCGGUGGCGAAGGCGGGUCUCUGGGCAGUAACUGACGCUGAGAAGCGAAAGCGUGGGUAGCGAACAGGAUUAGAUACCCUGGUAGUCCACGCCGUANCGGUGGGUACUAGGUGUGGGUUUCCUUCCACGGGAUCCGUGCCGUAGCUAACGCAUUAAGUACCCCGCCUGGGGAGUACGGCCGCAAGGCU